GGAGGGUGCAAGUGUUAUCCGGAUUUAUUGGGUUUAAAGGGUACGUAGGCGGCAGGGUAAGUCAGUGGUGAAAGCCAGCAGCUCAACUGUUGAAUUGCCAUUGAUACUGCUUUGCUUGAGUGCAGUCGAGGUAGGCGGAAUUCUGCAUGUAGCGGUGAAAUGCAUAGAUAUGUGGAGGAACGCCGAUAACGAAGGUAGCUUACUAGGCUGUUACUGACGCUGAGGUACGAAAGCGUGGGGGGAGCGAACGGGAUUAGAGACCCCGGUAGUCCACGCCGUAAACGAUGGUCACUCGAUAUAUAUUCUUCGGAGUAUGUGUCUAAGCGAAAGCGUUAAGUGACCCCACCUGGGAGUACGCUCGCAAGAGUG
rnacentral:rRNA from 1 species